AGUGAACGCUGGCGGUAGGCCUAACACAUGCAAGUCGAACGGCAGCACAGUAAGAGCUUGCUCUUACGGGUGGCGAGUGGCGGACGGGUGAGGAAUACAUCGGAAUCUACUUUUUCGUGGGGGAUAACGUAGGGAAACUUACGCUAAUACCGCAUACGACCUACGGGUGAAAGCAGGGAUCUUCGGACCUUGCGCGAUUGAAUGAGCCGAUGUCGGAUUAGCUAGUUGGCGGGGUAAAGGCCCACCAAGGCGACGAUCCGUAGCUAGUCUGAGAGGAUGAUCAGCCACACUGGAACUGAGACACGGUCCAGACUCCUACGGGAGGCAGCAGUGGGGAAUAUUGGACAAUGGGCGCAAGCCUGAUCCAGCCAUACCGCGUGGGUGAAGAAGGCCUUCGGGUUGUAAAGCCCUUUUGUUGGGAAAGAAAAGCAGCAGGUUAAUACCCCGCUGUUCUGACGGUACCCAAAGAAUAAGCACCGGCUAACCUCGUG
rnacentral:rRNA from 1 species